AGCGCAGACGGCAGUGCAAGUCUGAUGUGAAAGCCCGGGGCUCAACCCCGGAACUGCAUUGGAAACUGUACAGCUUGAGUGUCGGAGAGGUAAGCGGAAUUCCUAGUGUAGCGGUGAAAUGCGUAGAUAUUAGGAGGAACACCGGUGGCGAAGGCGGCUUACUGGACGAUGACUGACGUUGAGGCUCGAAAGCGUGGGAGCAAACA
rnacentral:rRNA from 1 species